rnacentral:rRNA from 1 species
GUUCAUGCUGUGACCGAUGAAUAUUGACUAUUGGAAAUUUUUCCAUUAGCUAAGCUAACGCGUUAAAUAUUCCACCUGGGGACUAUAAUCGCAAGAUUGAAACUCAAAGAAAUUGACUGAGAUUUGUACAAGCGGUGGAGCAUGUGGUUUAAUUCGAUAUAAAUCGAUAAAUCUUACCAAUUUUUGAUAUGCAGAUAUAAUUUAUAUUUUAUAAAAAAAUAAAUUAUUAUUAAUUAUUUUAAUUGUACAGUGUUGCAUGGCUGUCGU